GAGGCCUAACCCCCCCCCUUUCUACCGUAUUUUGGGGGGUUUAUCCCCCUCUGUGGCUUGACAGGCGGCCCUGGGGGUGUCUCUGCAGAUCCCCCUUGGCGAUGCCCCCCCGAUCUGGGUGCCCCGCACCCCCCCCUUGCCUGCCCUGGGGAAGGGGUGAGCAGUUCCAGCAGCCACAGCCCAAAGAAAGGCUUUUGUGGGGUUUAUUAUUAUUAUUUAUUCCCCCAUUUUACCCCGCGGUUCACGAAGCUUCUGGUGCCGGCUUAGGGAUUUAAUUUUUUUGGGGAGGACGGGGGGGGUCCCUCGGGGUCUGGCUCAGCAGACCCAGGGGUGGGUGAAGGGCAUCAGGGCCCGAGCCCGUCUCCCAAGAGGUUUAUGUAACCCUCCAGGUUUGGUUAGGCUUUAUUACUUUUUAUUUUUCCCCUUCUUCCUUCAUAGAUCUGUUUAUAUUUUUCCUCCUUGUUUUUAUUCCUGGCCCUUUACGGGGCGGUGAAUCCCUUUUUUCUCUCUGUCUGGAGAGUGGGUGGCGUUGAAAAAUACCAUUGGGAAUUCGGUUCUGGGAUUGUUUUAUUAAUAGUUUUUGUUUACAAGGUGGCGGUGUGAGCCGGGAAAGGGUAGGAAUGACAAGAGUGGAUGAAAUGUUUCUCGGAUCUAUCGCCUGAACGUGCCCGACCUCCCUCAGCAGAACUCGGGGCUGGUGGCUCUGCCGUGCUGGUGUCGAGGGGUCGAGAAACGGGUCUGAUUUAGUUCCCAGAGAGAGAUAAACAAACUUAUCUGGAUUUGGUGGUGUUUUUUUGGAAGGGGUGGGGGGAGGGAGGAGCAGCAGCAGCGCUCCUGUUUGUGGCUUAUCGAAGGAAACUUGUGUCUGACGUUUCGCGCAGCGCCUUUCUCCCCACAAAAGCUGCUCUCGGUGUAUUUUUCGCCCUGUUUUUAAGCAAAUAGGAAAUGAGUCCUGAUGGUGCUCGAAUCGGAGCUAUUUUUAUCCGGGGGUUUAAAGUUACACACAUGUCAGACUCCGCCAAUUGCGAUCGAUGCUUAAUCGCACCGGGAGGAGGGUCGGGAAUUCCAGCUGUUUAGUGAGGGAGGGGGAAAACCUUUCUUAGGGAUACCCUGGAAAGAGCUCUGGGCCAGAGAGGGACCGAGGCCCAACCUGAUCGGCUGCUGCUCUGUUUCCUUUUCCCCUCCCCCUCUCUUUUCCUUUUUUUUUUUUUUUUUUUUUUUAUCCCCUUUUUGUUCGGUUCCUUGCCGGCUUCUCCAGCGAUCGCAGCAUUUUUUGGAGGACAAAGAGCAGGUUUUCCCUGCGAAGUGGCUUUGCUGUGUGUUUCUAGGAGCUGGGCUGUGUCGGUGUUGAAUUGAGGGAAGCAGUGGAAAUAAGGAAGCUGAAUGAUCAGUGCUUUGUUUGACAUCGUUGGUAACUUAAUACUCCUGGCUCAGGGGAGGAAUCCGUGCCUGGAGAUUGGAGAAAGCUCAGAUCCCAACAGGAGAAUGUGCUUUGAGAAGGGCUGGGUUGAAAAUUUGGGAUGUCAGAAAUCAGAUCCCGCUCACUGAGACAGAAUUUGGGCACAAUUGGGUCAACUAAAAAGUCCAAAAAAAAUGAACCUUCCAAAAUGAUCUUCCCAAAAUAUUUGUGGUUGAAUUCCUGGGGGAUUUCUGCAUGGGUGGCUGGGAAUUCCAGAUACAAACCUGGCAACCCCAGGGAAUCCUGCUCCGAGUUCUGGCUGCUCCUUUCCUGGGAAUUCCUUGGAAUCUCUGCAGGAUCCGUCACCGGAGCCUGGAUACAGGAGAGGAUCCUCAGCUGGGAAAAAAAUCCUUUGGGAUUUUGGGUCUCCACACAUCUCCUGGAUCCGAGGCUGCUGAUGAAUUCCUGCCGUGUUUGGGAUGGAAUUCAUCUGGGAUUCGGAUGUGAGAUUCCCUCCUUACGGAAAAAUCCAGAGAGAGACGAUGGAUCAGAUCCUGCGUUCUUCACUCCUGGGAAUUCCGCUGGAGUUUUCUCUGGGAAUGUGUCCUGGACACCGCUCCAAAGGUUUCCAGUCCCUCCUGCUGUUCCCCUGUGCUUAUUUCUGGGAUAAUUUUUGGGAUGGAGAAGGUCUGCUGGGAUUCCUGGAUUUCCCAGAGUCCCAGUUUCUGCAGUGACUCUUUCCUUUCCUGAAGAAUUCCUGGAGAUGGAAAAAUACUGGUUUGAAAUCUUCUCUCCGUGCAGUUCUCCCGGAAUGAUUCCAAGAUUUCCCAUUCCUGGGCAUCUUUUCCUCGCUGGAGAAGGGAGAGGGCAGCUUGUUCCCCCCCAGCUGUGUCACCUGGAAUUCACCUCAUUCCAAGGAAAAAAAUUGUCAUUCCCAGCUUCAUUUCCAGAGAUUCCCCCCGUGCUGAUGUAAUUUGUUGCCAAAAUCCACUUUAUUUUCAGUCUGUCCUCAUUUACCGAGUCAGGGAAUGGUUUGGGUGGGAUUUUCCAGUUAAAAAUGAUCCAAUUCCAACCCAAACCAUUUUCAGGGACAUCUCCCUCCAUCCCAGACUGCUCCAAACCCCAAUCUCCAGCCCAUCCUCAGACACUUCCAGGGAUCCAGAGGCAGCCACAGCUUCUCUGGGAAUUUUUGCUGGGAUCUCUUCACCCUCACACUGAAAAAUUCCUGAUGUUGUGUCAAUAAACAACGUGGUUAUUCCCAAACCUUUCAUCCCAAUAUUCCUCCCUUUUCACGAACCUCAUUCACCAAACCGAUUUUUUUGGUCGGAAUUUCAGGUCUUUGCCACAACAAGGACAAUAUUCAGACGUGACCCCGUGAGGCUCACGAAUGCUUUUUGGAUUUGGCAAACAGCAGGAAUCCAAACUGUGGAAAACUCAGGUUUAAUUUACAGUUGGAAUUAAUUCAGGGAGCUGAGGAUCAGGCUGGGAGAGCUGGUUUUUAUUAAGCAGGACUUGAUUUAGUCCUAAAUAAAACCAUUUGUGUUCAUCCUGAUCCGUGAAGCUGCCGCGAAUGUGAAAAUCCUCCGGUGUUAAACAUUUUCUGGGCCAUCAGUGCGCACCCUGGAAGAGUUUGGGAACCUGGAAAAGUUAUCCAGGGAUACAUUUCCGAAGGAAUUAAACUCUAAAACUUCCUGUCGUGGUUCUGAGCGUGACACGGAAAGAUCCGGUGACGAAUCAGCGCCGGGAAAAGCGACCACGACGUUUCCUUGGGAUGCUCCUCGCCACAAACCCGCAGCGACGCCGCUUUUCCCAGAUAUUCCCGUUGGAUUUCAGCAGGAAAAUCGUUUCCACUGAGGGCAUUUUUUGUUUUCCUCCUGCCCUUUUGUGAUCUCCUUGCCGUGGAAUUUUAGGGCAGAGCAGCUCAAGCUCUGAACCGAGAAAAUUCCGGAGCCAAAGGGCCGUAAACUUUUCCCUCUCUCCAUGAGAACGAGGUUUUUGUGUCCAAAAUCCUUUUGGAGCUGAUGCUGUGGGAAAAAUCUGUCCAGUCUGGGAGAUUUUUUUACUUGAGGAAUUGGAUUAAAUUCUGGGGGACCCCACGGAUGGAACUCGGAUCCCGUCGCAAAAAACUGCGGAUGUGGAGUCGGGAAUUUGGGAUGCAGGAGCCUCACGCAGCCCUUUGUGAAAUCCCACAAAUUUCAUAGGUUGGGAUUUAAAGGUCUGAGGUGGGAAUUCUUUGUUCCUGCAGGUUGGGAAUUCCUGGUGGGUCAGGAAUAUUUCAGUCAUCAAGGUCCAAGGUGGGAGUGGGUGAAAUUCCCACAAUCCUGGGUAAACUUUUGUGCCAUGAAAACACCAAAUCUUUUCAAUCCAAGGGAAAAAACCAAAAAAAAAAGAGGAAUCUGCUUUUAGUUCCCUGCAGCUGGAACAUUCCUGCCAAGCUCCUGCUGGGAUGUGAAGGAUCUGUAUAUGAAAUAUUCCCUGUUCCCUUCCCUCAAAUGGGAGCAGCCUCGAUGCUGCAGAGCCAAAGUUCAGGUGGGAACAAACCUUUGAUUUUCUCCUGCUUCCCUUGUAAUUCUUAUCCAGAUGAAAGGAAAUCACUGUAGGAUCCUACAGCAAUUCCCAAUCCAUUUUUUUAUUCCCCAAUUCUUUAUUCCCAACCCAUUAACCCUGAUUUACAGGGUUAGUUAUUAGCAGAUAUUAGUUAGAUAUUAGCAGAAUUCCUUAUCAAGCUUCAGCGCCGAAACUCCACCAGUAAUUAUCUUAUCUGAGCCUCUCUUGGCAACAAAAAGAGUUUAAUAAUAUUCCAUAAAAAAAUUUUCCUCUUGAAAUAAAGAUUUCCUGCCUUUUUCCCCUUUGUAUUCCCUUCUUCCCACUUUCCUUUCCCUUUGUAUUCCUUUCUUCCCGUCGUUCUUCAAUCUCCCAAGAUUGGGGAAUUUUUUUUGGUCUUGCAAAUCAAAUUAACUUUUGAUUUUGAGUUUGAUUUUGAGAUUGCCACAAUUUGCAGGGAGUGAAGGGGACAAUGGAAUUCAUCAGAGCAUCCCCAGUUAUUUCAAACAAUUCAAUUUCAAUUUCUCUUCCCCAAAUCCUUGCAGGAGAGGAUGGAAAACUCUUGAGGUUUCAUCCCAAAAAUUCCUCAGGGCAGGGGAAGGGGUGAGGAAUUGUGGUGUUGUGGUCACCUGGAUGUGUCAGGAAAUUCCACUUGGGGAUAUUUGGGAGUGAAUUCCUUGGAUAUUUGGGAUAUUUGGGAGUGAAUUCCUUGGAUCUGAGUGAUUGGGUUUGGUUUCCUGGGUCGGAUAUUUUUUCCUUGACUCGCCU